UAAGUCAAAAAUCAUGUUUAUCUUCCUAUGAAUUGUUUAUGCGCUGUGUUGGAAGUACUUUUGUAGAUCUUGAUUACUAGCAUUGUGCAAAAUCAUGUACAUGAACAUCGCCAAUUGCUCCUCGGCAGAAACACGUGACGUGCCCUUCAAUAGAUUCUCUCUUCUAAGGUAAUCCACAAUAGACUUAAAAAUCUCAGGUUCCAUCCGAAACUCAACCCUAGACCAACUCUCAUGGCCUUCUAAUAUUUCCUUAACCUUUGCAGCCCCGGAUAAAGAUGAUGUGUGAACUGGAUGCUUUUCCUCAUAAAGGGAAGCAUAUAAAGCGGGAACCAAAAGGAAAAAUAGUUCAUCGUCUUCUUCUUGUUCUUGCGAGAUAAUCUUAAUAAUUUUAUUUCUCCUAGAAUCCAUCACUAUUAUACCCAAUGAAAAUAAAAUUAAUACAACUAUAAUAAUUAUAAAUAAAGCAAUAAUAAUACCAUCUCUAUUAUGGCUGCAAAGAACCAAUAGCUAGGAGCCUAG
rnacentral:rRNA from 1 species